UACGAAGGGGGCUAGCGUUGUUCGGAUUUACUGGGCGUAAAGCGCACGUAGGCGGAUCGUUAAGUCGGGGGUGAAAUCCUGGAGCUCAACUCCAGAACUGCCUUCGAUACUGGCGAUCUUGAGUCCGGAAGAGGUGAGUGGAACUCCUAGUGUAGAGGUGGAAUUCGUAGAUAUUAGGAAGAACACCAGUGGCGAAGGCGGCUCACUGGUCCGGUACUGACGCUGAGGUGCGAAAGCGUGAGGAGCAAACAGG
rnacentral:rRNA from 1 species